rnacentral:lncRNA from 1 species
UGGAGGUCUUGGCAAGAAGAUGAGAAGACAGGACAAGCAGUCUCAGAUCUGGGCACUAAUAUCCCUUUGACAUUGCGAUAUGCUCAUAUAGAUGCAGUCAUAACAACAGAGAAUUUGCUUCUCAGUAGUUGACAGUGCUGGACAGUGCUCAAGGGAGUGGGCCUACAAAAGAAGUCCGCACCAGGGGCACAGCUGACUUCUGCAGAAGGAAUGCCAUGGUGGGUGAGACCAAAGGUCCCCUGCACUUGGCAUCUCAGCAAUGGGUGCUUAGGAAAGGACUAUCAGCAACAAGAUGGAGAUUUCCCAGGCACAGGAGCAAUACUUCAUGUCUCAUGAAUAUAAUGUUCCCUCAAAAAAACAAAACAAAAAUAAAAACAACAACAAAAAUAGAGGCUACAUACAGACAAUAGACAAUAUGUAAACAGGCAAAAUAAAUUUUUUAAUUGCUUUGUCUCUCUAAUUCCUGCCUAUGGUCUUACAUUUUUGAAGUUGUCAUUUCAUUUCCUAUCCCUUAUUUAUAUUGUUCAGUCC